UACGUAGGUGGCAAGCGUUAUCCGGAAUUACUGGGCGUAAAGCGCACGUAGGCGGCUUUGCAAGUUAGAGGUGAAAGCCCGGGGCUCAACUCCGGAAUUGCCUUUAAAACUGCAUCGCUAGAAUUGUGGAGAGGUAAGUGGAAUUCCGAGUGUAGAGGUGAAAUUCGUAGAUAUUCGGAAGAACACCAGUGGCGAAGGCGACUUACUGGACACAUAUUGACGCUGAGGUGCGAAAGCGUGGGGAGCAAACAGG
rnacentral:rRNA from 1 species